CGGGGUUAACUCCAUCGUGGGCGACCCCACACACCUGGCGGGGACGCGCACCGUGGAGUCCUCCUGCAGCGGACAGGUGAUGAUCUGACAAAACCUCCGUCCAAGACAAAACGUUUCCUGACCCACAGCGCGGACCUUUCACCACACACCUUCACUUUGCACGGGGACACUUCCCCAUCACUGUUAAACUACAACGACACGGCGGCGUCUGAGCUGGCCGAGCUCGGAGCCUGGCGUGGCCGCAGGGGAAGCCCAACAGACCGCGUGGUGGUUCACGAGCCCGCUGGAGGAAGACGCCGGGAAGCUCGGCUGAAAGACGCGAGUUCUCCACGACCUCCCGAGGCAGCGAGUCAGCCGACACAUAGUUCUCAAACAGCUCCAUGAAAGUGUUGCCCUCCUCCACCAGCUCCGGAUCCAUGCGUUUAGCUUUGGCGAAAGACAAGAUGGCCUUCAGCGUGCGCUCAGUCUCACUCGCUGCCCAGAGACCUCGGCUGGUGGUGGGGAGACGGUCGUCCACCAGCCCGUCCUCGUCCUCAAUCAUUUCCUCAAAGAUGGCUGUCUGACCCUUCACCCUCACUCGAAGUGAGGACGACCUAAUGUGACGGUUGAUCUCCUCCACCCACUGAUGGCAGAUGGAGCUCGGGGAGAUGAUGAGGGUGGCACCAGUGGAGACGGGUUUCAUGGCAACCAGGCAUUUUUUCCCAGCUUGAAUGACCCCGCCAAGCCACGACCUUUAACCCGGUCAACUAGGCCUUCAUCGAUCAGCUUCGCCAGCAUCUUCUUGAUGUGGUUGCGGUUCUUUAAGAGGUCGUAACCCAUCCAGUUGACGGCCUGGCUCUGAUAGGGUCUGAGCACAGGAAUAAGAGCCUUGUGCUGGACGUCACAUGUCACCUCCUGGCUCUCUCGCUGGUGCAGAUGUCGGACAUAAUCAUAGAGCUCCUCUACAUUCUGUCUCUCCAGAGCUGCAUCACCCUCCUCUUCUGCAGCCAGUCGAGAUCCUCCAGCGGGAUCCAACUGAGGCUGCACUCCGCUGUGCAAGUCUCCUC